rnacentral:rRNA from 1 species
UCGAACGAGACUUUUUAUUUGAUGCUUGCAUCUUUUAAAAAGUUGAGUGGCGAACGGGUGAGUAACACGUGGGUAACCUGCCUUAAAGUGGGGGAUAACACUUGGAAACAGGUGCUAAUACCGCAUAACCAUCAAAACCACCUGGUUUUGAUGUUAAAGAUGGUUCUGCUAUCGCUUUAAGAUGGACCCGCGGCGUAUUAGCUAGUUGGUGAGGUAACGGCUUACCAAGGCAAUGAUACGUAGCCGAACUGAGAGGUUGAUCGGCCACAUUGGGACUGAGACACGGCCCAAACUCCUACGGGAGGCAGCAGUAGGGAAUCUUCCACAAUGGACGAAAGUCUGAUGGAGCAACGCCGCGUGAGUGAAGAAGGUUUUCGGAUCGUAAAACUCUGUUGUCAGAGAAGAACGUGUGUGAGAGUAACUGUUCACGCAGUGACGGUAUCUGACCAGAAAGUCACGGCUAACUACGUGCCAGCAGCCGCGGUAAUACGUAGGUGGCAAGCGUUGUCCGGAUUUAUUGGGCGUAAAGGGAACGCAGGCGGUCUUUUAAGUCUGAUGUGAAAGCCUUCGGCUUAACCGAAGUCGGGCAUUGGAAACUGGGAGACUUGAGUGCAGAAGAGGAGAGUGGAACUCCAUGUGUAGCGGUGAAAUGCGUAGAUAUAUGGAAGAACACCAGUGGCGAAAGCGGCUCUCUGGUCCGUAGCUGACG